GUGUUGUGGCUCAAUGGUAGAGCUCUUGCCUAGAAUGCAUGAGACACUGGGUUCAAUCCUCAGCACACAUA
rnacentral:tRNA from 1 species